rnacentral:rRNA from 1 species
GAUGAACGCUGGCGGCGUGCCUAAUACAUGCAAGUCGAGCGGAAAGGCCCUUCGGGGUACUCGAGCGGCGGACGGGUGAGUAACGCGUAAGAAUGUACCCCAAAGUGAGGAAUAACUGCUCGAAAGAGUAGCUAAUGCCGCAUGUGCUCUUCGGAGGAAAGCUUUAUGCGCUUUGGGAACAGCUUGCGUCUGAUUAGCUAGUUGGUAAGGUAACGGCUUACCAAGGCGACGAUCAGUAGCUGGUCUGAGAGGAUGAUCAGCCACACUGGGACUGAGACACGGCCCAGACUCCUACGGGAGGCAGCAGUAGGGAAUUUUCCACAAUGGACGAGAGUCUGAUGGAGCAACGCCGCGUGCUGGAUGAAGGCCUUCGGGUCGUAAACAGCUUUUGUCUGUGACGAAUAUGACGGUAGCAGACGAAUAAGCACCGGCUAACUACGUGCCAGCAGCCGCCGUAA